rnacentral:rRNA from 1 species
CCUACGGGAGGCUGCAGUGGGGAAUAUUGGGCAAUGGGCGCAAGCCUGACCCAGCCAUCCCGCGUGGGGGAAGAAGGUCCAUAGGAUUGUAAACUCCUUUUAACCGAGAGUAAAAGCUCGAUAACUUCGGGCCGUGAACGUAUCGGUGGAAUAAGGUUCGGCUAACUACGUGCCAGCAGCCGCGGUAAUACGUAGGAACCAAGCGUUGUCCGGAUUUACUGGGUUUAAAGGGUGCGCAGGCGGUUUGGUCAGUCGAAAAUGAAAUGUCAGGGCUUAACCUUGGCGCCGUUUUCGAUACUGCUAGACUUGAGAAUGGGCGAGGCGGCUGGAAUGAGUGGUGUAGCGGUGAAAUGCGUAGAGAUCACUCAGAACACCAAUUGCGAAGGCAGGUCGCUGGCCCGUAACUGACGCUCAGGCACGAAAGCGUGGGGAGCAAACAGGAUUAGAUACCCCUGUAGUC